GGAGGGGUAGCGAAGUGGCCAAACGCAGCAGACUGUAAAUCUGCCGGCUUUGCCUUCGUAGGUUCGAAUCCUACCCCCUCCACCA
rnacentral:tRNA from 3 species